rnacentral:rRNA from 1 species
AUGUCCCUGCCUUCAUCUCCUUCUUUGGCGAGAGGCGGCAAAGUUGGCACCGAGGUGGUGCAAGCAUCGGUGGACCAAAAGAUGACAUCGAUGAAGCAUCUCGUGCUCAACCUUGGCGACCCUACGCUACGCGAGAGAUCCCUCGCAGAGCUCUCUCAGGAGGUUCUUCGAAUCUACCCUGCACUUUCACCUCCAACUUUAACGUCGGCUGCAUCAACCCGAGUCUGCAAUGUGAUUGCACUUUUUCAGUGCAUUGCAUCACGCCCUGAGACCAGAAGCCCUUUCAUAGAAGCUGAUAUUCCAUUGUACUUGUACCCAUUCUUGCAUACUGUCGACAAGGCCCAACCUUUUGAGCAGUUGCGGCUCGCCACUUUGGGUGUCAUUGGUGCUCUAGUAAAGGAUGAGAACACUGAAGCUACUGAGUAUGUGCUCCAAUGUGAAACCAUUCCUUUGUGCUUGAACAUCAUGGAGAUGGGCAAUGAGCCUUCAAAAACCGUGUCCACUUUCAUUCUCCUAAAGGUUCUGCUAAGCGAAGUUGGUUUGAAGCAAUGUUGUGACACUCGCGGUCCUUUCUAUGCUAUUGCUUUUGCUUUACAAAAAAGGGUUGACUCACCAGAUGAACGGCCUUCGGCAAGGUUGCUGAAGUGCAUUAUCCGGUGUUACCUUAGGCUAUUUGAUCAUCGUAGGGGUCGUGCGGUGCUUAAAACAAGUCUUCCCGGCGUGCUACGAAAUGGGACAUUCAAUGGCUACCUCAUGGGGGAUCCUUCAGCACAAGAAUGUCUGCAGAAACUGUUGGCUGCCUUUCACCGCUGCAACGGCAACACCAUCGUGCCAUGA